ACCGGAUUUCCAGCUGGAGCGGCCACCGUUGCCGGAGACUCUAGACCGCAUAACGUCAGCGUCAAACAUGACCGGACCGCCUACGCCUACGCCACCGCCGCCGCCCCCACCGAGGGAUUCGUCCUUGAAAGUGCCGCAUUUGAAGCAGGUGGAGCGGCUGGCAAAGUUAUGUGUCCCGCAGUUUCCAACUGUGCAGUACCAGUCACCUGGACGAACGUCGGAGCCCGUGGUGAAUCCAAAAGCAGACAUACCUCUGCCGCCGAAAUCACCAAACUCUAAGCCACCGACUCCACCUGCACCCAAACGGGAGUCACCGCAUCGCUGGCAAGAAUCACGGCGCUGGAAGUUGAGGUGGGUGCAUGAUCUACAGUUCCAGUCUCCGGGUCUGCUCAUCUUCGAUAGGUUAUUGUAUGCGUGCGCUUACGUUUAUUUCUGUUACAUGCACAUAAAAACAUUACUACAAAAAAAAAGAGAGGUGCAACUAAAUCUGAAUAUUCUUAUUAGAUAAUUCCAUAUUCGAAAGAAAACAAAAAGAUGCAAAGUACCAUGCAACUAAUGAAAAUGAAUUUCUUGUGUACUGAACUCUUGUUUUCUUUAAAAGUUGGGACAAAGAAAUCAAUUGUGUGGUUAAAGACUAUAUUUAGGUAGAAAUUAAUAGUGGAUAUGUAUUGUAUGUAUUAUCUUAUUAUAUUCAUUACAUAUAACGCGUAUUAUUUGCCAACUAGUUCUGGACUUAGCUAUAUAUUUCUGAGAUCAAUAUAUAAUUUAAUCAAAUAGUUACGAAAUAAUAAAGAAGACUGACCUUGAUGAACUUGGAAGCUAUCUUAUUAUGUGUUUAUUGAAAGAAAACAAGACACGAGGCUUUGAGAGGGGAUGUGAAGUGGAUGUUCUUAAAUAGAACACAGAAGAACAACUGGUGUCUCGUUUAAGAAUUUUUUUUUUUAACUAAAUAAUAAUAACUUUUUCGUUUUCCUCACCUCAAUUGUAAACUUUAGCAAAAGAAGAGAAACAAGAAAAAAAAGAGAAUAUAUAAAUUAAUUAAAUGAGAAAUUUCGGCUGAUAUUCUGAAGCCCUGAAAUUUUAAAAGAUGGAAAUUUUUUGCUUUGGCCAUGGCUUUGAAUGUUUUGUAUAUGCGAGAUAUUUAAAUUGAUGCAUGCUCAUAGAGGCUAUAGCUAUGCCCUAUGUUUAUGGUUGUUUUCGUUUAUUCAAGACUAAAAACUCAACAAAUAGAUUUUUUUCACUUGAUAUGUUUCCCCCCCUUUUAGUCUCUUCUCAUUUUUAUCGUCUCUUAUUCGCUUCAUUUCCACAUGAUAGUUAUAUUUUAAUUAGAAUAUUGACAUAAUUAAUCAUAAAAUAAAUAUGCUUUGGUGAGAAUCUUGGGUCAAAGCAUGCAUAAUGCAAUUUUAAGUAAUUAAGAGUGACAAGAAGCCACCAAACAGCUUAAGGAGCCCACACCCAACUAAAAGAAAGAGAUCUUGUUAACCUCUUGCUCUACACAAAAGUUCUUUGACUGGUACCUUUUUGGACCCUCUAUCUCUAAUGCAAUUGAUAACUAUGUUUUAUAAUUUUAUGAUUAUAUGCUUCAACACCAAGGAAGCUCAUCAUUUAGUUACCUAUGAACAAUACUGAUUAAUUUAAGUAGCUAGCUAGGCGACGUUCCUUUCCUAUCAUAAUUUUGGUUUCCUUAAAUAAACUGUAAUUAGUAAGAUCUACAAUUUAAAAUCAUAUAUACAUAUCAAAAUAUGCCAAAAGAAAGAAUAAACAAGAAACUUUUUAAACACAUGUACAUAUGUAUUUUUCAUGUUUUUGACAUGGUAUAGAAUAACGAGAUUGAACUUUUAUCUGUCACGAAAAUUCUUUGUUCUUAAGAAUCUUAACAUACUUUGGUAGAUAACGAAAUAAACAGAUAAAUAAAUUGUCGAAUACCGUUUUUGUGUGGUAUCCCGAGCUUUGAUUUUUAAAAGAUUGAAUGUAGCGGAACAUGGUUUGAUUUUACAACAGAAUGACCCAUGGCACCUUGUAUAUAUUCAUUUUACAUCUUUUUGUACAUGUAAAGUACUAUUAUGAAGUACCCUAUGCUUGUGAUAGGUUAAGUUGCUAUAUACGUAUAAAUAACAUUAUAACCCAGAUGUGUCAAAUUCACAUCUAAAUAUACAAAAACAUAUACAUUUCUUGAAAUGUAGUCAUAUAGAUCGUGUGAGAUAUCAACUUCUAAGGUCUCGGUUAGAAACAAAAUGCUAAAUGAAAUGAAAUGAAAUCAGCUAAAGGUGUACACAUAUAAAGAGAUGCUAUUGAAUAGAGAAUCGAUUCGGUAUCUUGUACGUGGUAUAAGCUUUUUGUUGAUAUAGAAAAGGUGGCUUAAUCUCUCAAUUACAUUGUGGUAAGUCUCUUUCAUUUAUACUUUAGGAGGCAACUGAACCAAGACACGAAUAAAAAUCUCUGUUACUUUUGAAUUUUGAAUAUUCACUAUCUUUGUGCUUCUUUACUUUUGAUAGCAUUUUAUAAUACAAGUUCUCUUUGCUUAGCGGCAACGUAACAAUAUCUGUGAAUUUCCUAAAACAGAAUGAUCAAUGUAAUAAUGGAUUUUGAUAAGAUGCACUCAUGUACAUUACAUGCUCUUUCUUUGUUUUACUUCAAAUAUGUAUAAGUGUCUAAAGGAAUAUAACUGAAACUUAUAAGUACUUCGAAUUAUAUGUUAAUCAAGGAGAAGAGACCUAAAACAAGUUGUCUUAACAAAUUCUUAGCAAUUGUAAUAUAUGUUUUUUUCACCUUAUAGUUUACGGAUAUAAUAUUGAAGCAGUAUUUCGCAUCAUUUGCGAUGGAUAAUAAUUAAAUAACAAAUAUAUUAAUGUAUAAUUUCGUUUAUUUUUGUUCGACCACCCUUUGUUCUAGCUCAUUGAUUAAAUUUGUAAUAUUUGGGUCAUGUUAUAGAUUAGAUUUUUGUCCUAAAAAGAUCAAAAUAUCAAACUGUGGACAAGAGUGGAUUGGAUAGAAACGAGAAAACCAAACAAAUAUAAUAAUGUAAAAUUACAAUAUAAUUAUGGGUCAAAAACAUAAAAAGAGGGGAAAAGAAAAGAUAAAGGGAAAAUCAAAAGGGAUGAAGCAAAAUAGAGAGUUUCAAUAAAGAUAAAUUUGGGUGAUGGUGAUGGAAUAAUCCUUCGAUGUUUUCGUUUUGACCGUCUUUUCCUUUAUUUCUCACUUUAAUUUCCCUUUAUAUCUCUCGCUGUUUAUUCCCAUAUUUAUUUUUAACAUUAACUAAAACAAAGGAAAUUUGACAAUCUUCCAAAUACAAAUUAAUUUGUUCUGUAAUAAUUAGCCAGGUAAAAAGAGGGGAAGCUGCUAAUUAAUAUCUGGAGUCCAUUCUCUUGGAGAAGAGUAAAGUAGGUAACAAAAAAAAGGAACUGAGCUGAUUCGAUUCUCUUUGGGACUCCCAUCCAUGCAUCACCUCUCACCCUCUUUCAUUUUAACUUUUGAUUUUCUAAUUUACACAUUAACAAUUAUUUUUAAAAUAUAAGAGUAAUCAAUGAUAAAACAUUUAUUAUAUGCUCUCGGACGUCCAAAUAUAUUUUUAAAGAACUUAGAAAAGUUUCAUUCAAUAUGAUUUUGAAAACAGAAAAAUGUAUUACAUUUUACAAACUAUAUGGCUAACAUAUGUGAAUUAACUUACAGAAUGUAAGUGGGAUGCCUCACUAUGGUCGUUUAUGGACAAUAUACCCUUGAGACAUAUUAUUUAUUUGUUUCAUGGUCACGUUUCAAUUCGAUCAUGUUUUGCAUGACUAUUAUUAGUACUCGUCACAGUAAAAGCUGAAGAUAUCGUAUAGAACAGUAGAACCCCAAAAGAAAUCGUAUAGAUCAAACUGUUACUUUCUGUAAAAAAAAAUCCGUUAAAAAAAUGAUUUUGCAUUUCAGAAUCACUAAAAAGAAAUCUUAAAUCUAAUUUAGAUAAACGGUAAAUUGUGUGGUUUAUAAGAAUAUCAGCAAUGAUAAAAAGUGAAAACAAUACGAAUUUCUCAAUUGUUGUGUAUUUUAUUUAUUUAAUAUAUAUAUUUUUAAACUAUUAAACCAUUGAUUAUGGCACUACAAGAAAACAAAAGUUUUACGACAGCGGUAUUCCUCGUGAAUUCGUCGUAAAAGAAGGUUUACGAGGAAUUAUCGAGAAAACAUGUUUCGUCGUUACUCGUUCGUCGUAACGCAUAUUUCCUCGCCAAUUCGUCGUAACUUAGCGAGGAAAAGGUUUCGUCGUAAAGACGAAGUAAUAUAUUUCGUCGUAAAGACCACGUAAAAAUUCCUCGUAAAUACCUCAAAAGCAUUUUCUCGUAAACUACACGUAUUUAUCUCAAAAGUAAUUCCUCAUAAAGUACACGUAAAUACGUUGAAAAUAAUACCUCGUAAAGUACUCAUUAAUUCUUCCUCGUUAUUUCCUCGUACACUUUCCACGCAAAUAAGUCGUAAAGUAGCUACGAAUUCACUUCGUUUUAUUAUUUUACAAAAUUUAAAAAUAUAAUUAAAAAAAUAUUAAAAAUAGCCGGCCCUAUGCUAUAGUCUUUUAGAAUUGAAAAGGCUGGACACACAAAAAAACAAAAAAAAGUAGCAACUCAUGUAUAAAGCGAUGAAAUUGAGAAGAGAAUCUUCUUUUAAGAAAGACAUGCAGCGUACAAUGAUUAGAAUAAUAAAACUCUUAAAAGAAACUGAAAAGGAAAAUUACGAAAAUGAAAUAUUAUAAAUGCAAAAGCACGACAGCUAAAGUUACAAUAUUGGCUCUCAUAACAUCUAACAAAAUUAUCAUCUUUAAUUCAAUCUUGCUCCUCUUUCUCCUUUUCCAUUGAUUGAAACGGUGCCUGAAAAAAUAUCAAAUUUGAAAAGAAAGAAAAAAACACAUUUAAAUAAACCUUAGUUUCCGGUCCUGGUCUUACUUAUCAAACAAUAUAGUAUAUACAAUAAAGAAAAUUGAAUUAUUACCCAAGAGAUUGGAAACAAGGCUACUUCAAAGGCAUUAUUGUGUAACUUAGAAAGAGGUUCUCAUGUUGAAGUCCCUUGGUGCAUUGCAUCUGAAGCACUCCAUUCUGCUUGCAAAGUUAUGCUCAUUGCAACCAAGCCUGUAUUUCCAAUAAUUAAAAUAUCUAUCAGUUGCUGACAAAAAAUAAAUAUCUAUCGGUUAAACUUUGACAUGAAUAAUUUACGUGUAAAACGAUGUAUUAUAUCACCGGUAUAAUUAUCUAAAAUAUUUUGAUUUGGUACCUAGUGCAAAUCCAGUCACCGGAUUUCCAGCUGGAGCGGCCACCGUUGCCGGAGACUCUAGACCGCAUAACGUCAGCGUCAAACAUGACCGGACCGCCUACGCCACCGCCGCCGCCCCCACCGAGGGAUUCGUCCUUGAAAGUGCCGCAUUUGAAGCAGGUGGAGCGGCUGGCAAAGUUAUGUGUCCCGCAGUUUCCAACUGUGCAGUACCAGUCACCUGGACGAACGUCGGAGCCCGUGGUGAAUCCAAAAGCAGACAUACCUCUGCCGCCGAAAUCACCAAACUCUAAGCCACCGACUCCAC
rnacentral:lncRNA from 1 species